rnacentral:rRNA from 1 species
GCCUUUUAUCUCUAUCAAGAUGAUUCUAAUUCGUUAGAUAUUAUUUAUUUUAGUAUCUGGAACACGAAAUAGAUAGAGUGGAUAAAAAAUGGAACCAUGAUUCAUACUCACUAUUAAGACCUCGCAACCAGACUAAAAAAAUUCAAGUAG